rnacentral:lncRNA from 1 species
UUAGGGGUUCUGAGGCAGCUGCGAAACCAGACAGGACCACCACUAUAGGAUUCUGUCUUUGUCUCAUUAUGUUAGCCUGUAUCAUUUUAUAGAUAACACAAGCAAGUUUGAAUUUCAGAGUCGAGAAAUAUGACAGAGAUGUUAUCUGGAAUAGAUUGACAAGGAACACAAUGCCAAUAUAAGAAAGAAGAAGUCAUAUGUAUUCAACACAAAUACCCAGAGUGCUGCAAAUACCUGGAGUGCUUUGCUUAGCCAGCUGUUCUGGCUAA